rnacentral:lncRNA from 1 species
CACUGCUGAGCUGCGUCAAGGUGAAGAAAGCACCCUUUGAUCCCUCCCAGAGUGGUGAGGGGAGAAAGGGAACAACGAUAUACGAUACGAACAACAAUAAUGACUCUGAUACUGGCUUGGACAACUCUGCAGGUGACGUAAAAAGGAUCAAGGACAAGAGUAAAGGAAAGGUUAGGGGAGAGAAAUACUGUAUUAAAUCUCAGGACCACAAAUGCAAAACGACACCGGAAACAGAAAAAGACAUUAAACAAAGACCUAACUCGGUAAGACAUCCAAACUUGCUAAUCAAUGAGGAUUUACCAAUGCAUUUGACAAUUGAUAAUGACCACAAUCAGAAAAACACAGCAUAUUGUGUUGAAUUUGAUACUUUGACACGGCUUGACAAAUGUGAUGACGUUACAAUGCCCCUUCGGGUGGGGUAGGCCGUAAUAGUUAUUAGGAAAAGUCUAAACGGAAUCCAUGGAACGUCCUAACUCUGACGUCUCAACUCUUACCCCAUUGAUGUUGAAAUUGAAAUGGUUAAGGUAAGGGUUAAGGAUAGGGUAGGGGUUAAGGUUAGGGUUUAGGCUAGGGACCCCCCAAGGAUCACGGACAGCACUAACGCUAGUUAUUAUGGUGUAACAUUUUGACAUGGAAACACACUUAUGAAAUAAAAUGUGCUGCUAAUCAAGGUAGAGCUCAUUGGCUACAUAUUUUCAACAUUGAUAUUGUAGUUUGAAAUAUCAGUAGAUUUCUAACUGAUGUACUGAUUGUGACCCUGAGGUCUCCCCUGAGGAGAAAGCAAAGGAGACCCAUCAGAAAGAGAAGAAGAAGAGCA